UAAACUGUACGAUAGCAACUGAAUUGUUUACAUGAAAUGGUGGAAGAUUUAAAUUUGACUUUAAAAUAUCAUGUCUCAAUUUAUUAACACCAACACUAUUCCAUGUGAAAUUUCACAAGACCAGGACACUUCGUUUUUAAAUUUAAAUGAUUUAUCGAAUGUAAAUGAACUUUAUUAUGAAACUUCUCACCCCGCUACUCAAGAUUUGUUUGAUGUGGUAGAUGAUUAUGAAAGCACAGGAGUUUGAAAUUCUAUCAAUAUAGCUAAUCUAAUGGCUUAAAAAAAAUACCCCUAUAUAGUAUAAGACUAGUCUUUAUACUAUAUAGGAGUAUAUUUUUUUUUAUUUAGCCAUUAGAUUAGCUAUAUUGAUAGAAUUUCAAGCUCCUGUGAUGAAAGUGACCUUGAGUCAAACCAUGAUGAGUCUGAUAUUGAUAUUGAUAUAGAAGCUGUCAAAAAAAACAUCAGACACUGCGUUUAUUGAAAAGUCUGAACUUCGUGUGGCAGAAGCUGAUAAACAAAACAAAUUUAAGGUUGACUUUUUAAAAAUGUUUAAGCACAAGUUUAAUUAAUAAUUAUUAUUAUAAAAAAAAGUGUUAUGUAGAUAAAUAACCAAUAAUUUGAUAUUCUACAGGUUGGGAAGUUACGGUCUUGGCGAACAGCAUUUUCACUUUCAGUGUGACAACUGUUGCGGCCAAAAUAAAAACAACAUAGUCAUCUGGUACCUUCUGUGGGGAGUUCUUGUAGGUUUACACAGAAUCAUCACACUAAGCUUUAUGUUGAUAAGACAUACAAAGUUUACACCAGAUUGGCACUUUGGCAUCUGGAAGUCAAAGUGGAGAAAUGUUGUCUGAUGUCGCUGCGUCUGUGGGGUUAUCGUCAAGGACGGGCCACAACAUCCCCCAGCUUGUGGGGGACUCUUCCAAUCCUGUUGUUAUCUAAGACAGGAAUGAUUACCUUACGACAUUGUUUCACCACAUAAAGAAUGUCACCAAAUUUCAUCAAUUUCCAUGUGUCAGCGGAGCAUCCCGGUGUUGUGGAAUGCAGGGAAUUUAGUGACUCACCAGUAAUCAGAAUCACUCUCAGGAAGGUCUCGAAAGUGAAUGUUAAUGUGAGCUGUGACAACCUGCCAUAAGAAAUGUUUGCGAAAGGGCUUGAUCUGGACCAUCAGUGGUAUUUAUUUGAAAACAUUUGUGAAUUCUGUCGCAUAGAUGAACCAAAAACUUGACAUGUCCGAAACGUGCUACUGGUGAGCAACAAAAAACAGACUGUGCCCCCCAAAAAAGAAGAUGCAUUAAGAUGCGCAUCUGAUCUUCUCUGAUGGUGCCACAACAAUUACAUACAUCAUGUAUCAGUGUUUAUUUUCGCCAAGGUAUUGGGUGAUAUAUUUUCCCACAAACAAUGCAAAAAAUCCUCUAUUCCUAGGAGAGCUAAAACAUGUAUACGAUUUCUAAAUGUGUCAGUUGAUAUUGGUUUUGAAAUGUUCAAUGCAAACUUUUGUUGUUUUAAUUGCUCAAGCUUGUUUUCAAGUUUUUUAUUUCUCAUAUUUACAAAACAAAAAUCAUUUUUUCCAUGUAGAUCUAACCAUGCAAUUGUUUUCACUGUAUGGACA